AACGAACGCUGGCGGCAGGCUUAACACAUGCAAGUCGAACGGACGUAGCAAUACGUUAGUGGCAGACGGGUGAGUAACGCGUGGGAACAUACCCUUUGGUUCGGAAUAACUCAGGGAAACUUGAGCUAAUACCGGAUAAGUCCGAGAGGAGAAAGAUUUAUCGCCGAAGGAGUGGCCCGCGUCUGAUUAGCUAGUUGGUGAGGUAAUGGCUCACCAAGGCGACGAUCAGUAGCUGGUCUGAGAGGAUGAUCAGCCACACUGGGACUGAGACACGGCCCAGACUCCUACGGGAGGCAGCAGUGGGGAAUAUUGGACAAUGGGGGCAACCCUGAUCCAGCCAUGCCGCGUGAGUGAUGAAGGCCUUAGGGUUGUAAAACUCUUUUGUCCGGGAAGAUAAUGACUGUACCGGAAGAAUAAGCCCCGGCUAACUUCGUGCCAGCAGCCGCGGUAA
rnacentral:rRNA from 1 species